rnacentral:tRNA from 1 species
GGGGUUGUGGCUCAGUGGUAGAGUGCUCACCUGUUAUGUGUGAGGAACUGGGUUCGAUCCUCAGCACCA